rnacentral:lncRNA from 13 species
GAUUAUAAUAAAUAUGCAUAGUAACUAAAUAAAGUGGUCUGUGAAAUUCUCUCUGUGUGUAUGUGCGUCUAUAAUAACACAAUAUGCCUUUUUUGUGGACCAGCUACUCUUCGUCUUCCAAACACCUGGCAUGCAUUAUCCAGUGUUCACAGCAGCCUUCUGCGCCCAGGAGGACAUCCACAGCUGGUCAUGACCCCUCGGAGCAAGCCAACACCUCGUCUUAAGAACUGGCAUCCACGCAGAUGGACAGGACUGUGUUAAUGAGUGUCGGAGGUCAGCCUCCUCAGAAGCAGACAUUGAGACCAGAAUUUUUGUGCAAGCAAUUUCUUCCGGCGAUUCUCCUGGGGAAACUGAUCAACAGGCAGGAACAGCACAGCAGGAAGGGGAGGCCUCCAAGC